AGGCUCACCAACAUAUUCUUACUCUUGAUCGGUUGAAAUCGAGCCACACAGUCUUCACUUUUUCUACUAUCUUGCUGUGCUACAGCCAAAACGACUACACUAACGCAAAAAAACUCAACAACUGCUGAAAAGUUUUGUACGCAUAACAACCAAAGUAGCAACCGGAGCUCUGUGUGCAAAUGCAAACUGGUGAGUGCGAUGUGCGUAUUGUUACCAUGCGCUACAGAGUCAGGUUCAAACAUUUCAUGAAGCAGCAGUCUUUGACUAACUUCACAUGCAAAUUGUAUCAAUUUGUCAAAUUUUUGGUUGAAUCAAUCAGUUAUCUCUCGAAAUCAAGCAGAAUCUGUGGAUGAGGCGUCAACUGCUUUAACUCGUGGUGUAGUGAAACUAGCCUCCGUCGGAGCGUUCGAGUUCCCUCAGCUUCGCCAAAGGAAAUCAGAAUGCUCCACGAUCACCUCGGGAGGCUAGUUUGACCACACUACUGAAAGCUAUUAAUAUUUGCGUAUUCACAUUAGGCAAAGGUCCAAAAGACUAGAAAAGUGUCACCAACUUGUUAACUGUGUAUUACUUUUAACAAAAACUAAUUUAGGUAUGAACUGUGUAAUUGUUGGUGUUGAAAUAUGACAAGUACAACGUAUACGGUUAACGUUAGUUCUUGAAGUAUAUCAUGUUGCAGAAAGGUGUUGCUGCAAUUAUGAACAAGUUCUGUAAUUCUGUUCAUUUCAACACAAAAUACUUGCUGAAACCACUUACAAAUUGAAUUUCGGGUCCAAUUUUCACACAAUCACACAUUGCACUAAAAAUGAAAAAAAAUAAUAAUAAU